rnacentral:rRNA from 1 species
GACGUAGGGCGCGAGCGUUGUCCGGAUUUAUUGGGCGUAAGGAGCUCGUAGGCGGCUUGUCGCGUCGAAUGUGAAAACUCGGGGCUCAACUCCGAGCUUGCCAUUCGAUACGGGCAGGCUAGAGUUCGGUAGGGGAGGACUGGAAUUCCUGGUGUAGCGGUGAAAUGCGCAGAUAUCAGGAGGAACACCGGUGGCGAAGGCGGGUCUCUGGGCCGAUACUGACGCUGAGGAGCGAAAGCGUGGGGAGCGAACAG